AGAGUUUGAUCAUGGCUCAGGAUGAACGCUGGCGGCGUGCAUGAUACACGCAAGUCGAACGCUUUGUCUUUAACUGAUAUGAAGAGCUUGCUCUGAUUUGAUUUUAUCUGACAAAGAGUGGCGCACGGGUGAGUAACACGUGGGUAACCUACCUCUUAGCAGGGGAUAACAUUUGGAAACAAGUGCUAAUACCGUAUAAUACCAACAACCGCAUGGUUGUUGGUUGAAAGGUGGUUCUGCUAUCACUAAGAGAUGGACCCGCGGUGCAUUAGCUAGUUGGUAAGGUAACGGCUUACCAAGGCAAUGAUGCAUAGCCGAGUUGAGAGACUGAUCGGCCACAAUGGGACUGAGACACGGCCCAUACUCCUACGGGAGGCAGCAGUAGGGAAUCUUCCACAAUGGGCGCAAGCCUGAUGGAGCAACGCCGCGUGUGUGAUGAAGGGUUUCGGCUCGUAAAACACUGUUAUAAGAGAAGAACGGCACUGAGAGUAACUGUUCAGUGUGUGACGGUAUCUUACCAGAAAGGAACGGCUAAAUACGUGCCAGCAGCCGCGGUAAUACGUAUGUUCCAAGCAUUAUCCGGAUUUAUUGGGCGUAAAGCGAGCGCAGACGGUUAUUUAAGUCUGAAGUGAAAGCCCUCAGCUCAACUGAGGAAUGGCUUUGGAAACUGGAUGACUUGAGUGCAGUAGAGGAAAGUGGAACUCCAUGUGUAGCGGUGAAAUGCGUAGAUAUAUGGAAGAACACCAGUGGCGAAGGCGGCUUUCUGGACUGUAACUGACGUUGAGGCUCGAAAGUGUGGGUAGCAAACAGGAUUAGAUACCCUGGUAGUCCACACCGUAAACGAUGAGUGCUAGAUGUUCGAGGGUUUCCGCCCUUGAGUGUCGCAGCU
rnacentral:rRNA from 1 species